GGAUGUGAGGGCGAUCUGGCUGCGACAUCUGUCACCCCAUUGAUCACCAGGGUUGAUUCGGCUGAUCUGGCUGGCUAGGCGGGUGUCCCCUUCCUCCCUCACCGCUCCAUGUGCGUCCCUCCCGAAGCUGCGUGCUCGGUCGAAGAGGACGACCUUCCCCGAUAGAGGAGGACCGUUCUUUGGUCAAGGGUAUACGAGUAGCUGCGCUCCCCUGCUAGAACCUCCAAACAAGCUCUCAAGGUCCAUUUGUAGGAGAACGUAGGGUAGUCAAGCUUCCAAGACUCCAGACACAUCCAAAUGAGGCGCUGCACGUGGCAGUCUGCCUUUCUUA
rnacentral:snRNA from 1 species